rnacentral:rRNA from 1 species
UACGUAGGGGGCUAGCGUUGUCCGGAAUCAUUGGGCGUAAAGCGCGUGUAGGCGGUCCGGUAAGUCCGCUGUGAAAGUCGGGGGCUCAACCCUCGAAUGCCGGUGGAUACUGUCGGGCUGGAGUCCGGAAGAGGCGAGUGGAAUUCCUGGUGUAGCGGUGAAAUGCGCAGAUAUCAGGAGGAACACCAAUGGCGAAGGCAGCUCGCUGGGACGGUACUGACGCUGAGACGCGAAAGCGUGGGGAGCAAACAGG